rnacentral:rRNA from 1 species
GUCGAACGCGCAGCGAAAGGUGCUUGCACCUUUCAAGCGAGUGGCGAACGGGUGAGUAACACGUGGAUAACCUGCCUCAAGGCUGGGGAUAACAUUUGGAAACAGAUGCUAAUACCGAAUAAAACUUAGUAUCGCAUGAUACAAAGUUGAAAGGCGCUACGGCGUCACCUAGAGAUGGGUCCGCGGUGCAUUAGUUAGUUGGUGGGGUAAAGGCCUACCAAGACAAUGAUGCAUAGCCGAGUUGAGAGACUGAUCGGCCACAUUGGGACUGAGACACGGCCCAAACUCCUACGGGAGGCUGCAGUAGGGAAUCUUCCACAAUGGGCGAAAGCCUGAUGGAGCAACGCCGCGUGUGUGAUGAAGGCUUUCGGGUCGUAAAGCACUGUUGUAUGGGAAGAAAUGCUAGAAUAGGGAAUGAUUCUAGUUCGACGGUACCAUACCAGAAAGGGACGGCUAAAUAC